UAAAUAGCUGCUUUAGGCACGCAUCAUCAGAGAACACAGUCCCAGAGCUCUAUGCUAGCUAUGGCGGCCGGGCGGGGGAGGGUGAUGCGGGAGGAAGGAGACGACAUGGCGUGGUAUUGUUUCGGCUCAUGUCCUUCUUCGAUCGAGUCUUGCCGUUGGAUUUGGAUGUGAUGUGAGCCGAACCAAUAUCACUCAUGUACUCUUCAUUCCCAAGGAAGGUCCAGAGACGUUACGGGCUCGCAGGUAUUGUUGUGUAAAUACGCUUGCUGAUUAUCCGAAGCCAACCGAACUUCGCAUCAUGUGCAGUGAAGACAUAUUCAUCUAGGGAAAGAAGCUUGAAAACCCUGCGGGCUGCGGCUUAUGGUAAAAGGGCUAUACUGUAUAUGUUAUGUGAAUCCGAUAAUGACGAUGGCAGAGCUAUUGACAUUUUGGUUUAUAACAUUGCAUAUUAUAUUCGUUUUCGGAGCCACCAAUUUCUUCAGUCAGUCACGUUGUGUUCGCUUACAUGAUAGUAUCAAUUUCCCCCCCUUGCGUCUAUCCCGAGUUCCUGACCACAAGUCGUAACAAAGGCGUCCAUAUGGCAGUCUCAUGUGAUUUCAUCCCCACAGAGCUGACAGUUUCCAGAAUCCACCAUUGGCCUGCGCUAGAUUGUAUCCAGCUUAUAGGCACAUGAUGCUGCACUAUCCGCUGCACGAUCAGAUCUAGAGAUUGGGAGAGAAAGUUGUUGAAGACUUGAAAGUCCAAAUCAGUUUUGCACCAUACAAGCUAGUGUCGUGGUACCUGGCUACCUGCUCUGGAACCAAUUCAUUGCGUAGGCCCAUGUAGCUUGGUUGCAGUUUAACCCUGAGUAAUACUACUAAACUGCGGAGUAUAAAAUUAAGGAGGCGCAUAUAUUCCUGCUUACUUCUAUAUGCAGAGUAAAAAUUACAGACGACUUCUGCUGCCUUUAUAUAGCUUAGUCAAAACUCAACUAAAUAUAGAUGACGCCAAGCUAACUUUAUCCAGCUGUAGUUGGAAAAACAUAACUAAACUUCCCCGUGAUCCAAUAACACUUUGCGAAGCUACUACAUGGGAUGCCCUUUUGGAGCCUAGCUAGUGUGUCAAUCAAAGCCCGUGCUAGGCAAUGGCAACUUGUAGUCUUGCAGAUAUAUAUUGUUAGCGUUACAUAUACGGCUGGACGAAUCGGCGAGAGAGAGAAGGAAACGGAUGCCAUUCGUUGGCAGGCAGGUCUGCGCAUGUGCGGUGCACCCCCCUGAGCUUCGUCGCGCGUCACACCGGCCUGUUCAUCCGAGAGGGACGUCCGCCUGUCCCUAACACGCCGUGCGCGCUGGUCAUUACAAAUUGAAAUUGCGUUUCGUGGUACCCAGCUUGGGCUAGCUCUCGUGUUUGGUCAUUUGGAAGAUGACAUAUUGACAUGACAUGUCUAAUGCUACACGCUAUAUGCGAUAGGCUCGGUUGAUGGGGUGACAGAAAAUGCAGUUUGGUGGCAGCAGCUUCUGUCAGCGGCUGUUGUUUUCUGUGUUUUCCUGAUCGACAUCGGAGUGAUUUUUCAGAGAGAGAUGCAGCUUUCCUGCGAUUAGAUUAAAAGGGUAUGUUGUCCUAGUCGUGUGGUGGCGGAGUGCGAGCAGUGCCAUCCCUCGGCCCUGAAAUGAAUCAUAAGAGAUCAUUCGUUGUUUAAGUCUAACCAAGUUUGAAAAAUAUUACCACCUACCACAUCAAAUAGAUAAAUUAUGACUGUAAAUUUCGUAAUGCAUCUAAUGAUACUCAAUUGAUAUCGUGGAUA